AUUGAACGCUGGCGGCAGGCCUAACACAUGCAAGUCGAGCGGAAGAAGGGAGCUUGCUCCUGGAUUCAGCGGCGGACGGGUGAGUAAUGCCUAGGAAUCUGCCUGGUAUUGGGGGAUAAUGUCCGGAAACGGGCGCUGAUAACGCAUACUUCGUGAGGGUGCUAGAUGGGGGUGUUCGGACCUCUCGCGAUCAGAUGAGCCUAGUCGGGGGUAGUUAGUUGGUGGGGUAAGGGCCUACCAAGGCGACGAUCCGUGAAUGGUCUGAGUGGGUGAUAAGUCACACUGGAGCUGAGACACGGUCCAGGCUACUACGGGAGGCAGCAGUGGGCAAUAGUGGACAAUGGGCGAAAACCUGACACAGUCAUGCCGAGUGUGUGAAGAAGGUCUUCGGAUUGUAAAGAACUUUAAGGUGGGAGGAAGGGCAGUAAGUUAAUACCUUGCUGUUUUGACGUUACCAACAGAAUAAGCACCGGCUAACUUCGUG
rnacentral:rRNA from 1 species